rnacentral:misc_RNA from 1 species
AAGUCGUAACAAGGUUUCCGUAGGUGAACCUGCGGAAGGAUCAUUAACACGUAUCCAACGUUAAACAACCCUGUGAACCUUCAUUCCUGCUCUGCUCGAGCCCUAACAAAAGCAAUCCUUCCAAGGACCUCUCUUGUCAGCGCUCGGGGAUUCGAUGCGGUCGUCGGAACUUAGGCUUGGCUUCUGCGGGGCAGUUAGUGGGUGAAAGUGCCACUGAUUGCUUAAGCAGAUAACCGAUUAAAACUCGGAUCAUCGAGUGCCCACACGGCCGAUGAACAAGUCUCUGGGCGCAAGCCCCCAAAUUAACUACCUCUAAGCCUUAGAGGCCGCCUCGUGUUGUCGCUGUCGUGAAAGCUGAACAACUGUUAACAAUGGAUAUCUUGGUUCUC